CUACGGGUGGCAGCAGUGAGGAAUAUUGCACAAUGGGGGGAACCCUGAUGCAGCAACGCCGCGUGGAGGAUGACGCCUUGCUUUGUGUAAACUCCUUUUAUAUGUCAAGAAAAUGACGGUAGCAUAUGAAUAAGCACCGGCUAACUCCGUGCCAGCAGCCGCGGUAAUACGGAGGGUGCAAGCGUUACUCGGAAUCACUGGGCGUAAAGGACGCGUAGGCGGGUUGGAAAGUCAGGUGUGAAAUCCUACAGCUUAACUGUAGAACUGCACUUGAAACUUCUAAUCUAGAGUAUGGGAGGGGGAGAUGGAAUUAGUGGUGUAGGGGUAAAAUCCGUAGAUAUCACUAGGAAUACCUAAAGCGAAGGCGAUCUCCUGGAACAUUACUGACGCUAAGGCGUGAAAGCGUGGGGAGCAAACAGGAUUAGAUACCCCAGUAGUC
rnacentral:rRNA from 1 species